CCUACGGGGGGCAGCAGUCGAGAAUCAUUCACAAUGGGGGAAACCCUGAUGGUGCGACGCCGCGUGGGGGAAUGAAGUUCUUCGGAUUGUAAACCCCUGUCAUGUGGGAGCAAAGUAAAAAGAUAGUACCACACUAGGAAGAGACUGCUAACUCUGUGCCAGCAGCCGCGGUAAUACAGAGGUCUCAAGCGUUGUUCGGAAUCACGGGGCGUAAAGCGUGCGUAGGCUGUUUCGUAAGUCGUGUGUGAAAGGCGCGGGCUCAACCCGCGGACGGCACAUGAUACUGCGAGACUAGAGUAAGGGAGGGGGAAGCGGAAUUCUCGGUGUAGCAGUGAAAUGCGUAGAUAUCGAGAGGAACACUCGUGGCGAAGGCGGGUUACUGGACAUUAACUGACGCUGAGGCACGAAGGCCAGGGGAGCGAAAGGGAUUAGAUACCCUUGUAGUC
rnacentral:rRNA from 1 species